CAAUAGCGUAUAUUAAAGUUGUUGCAGUUAAAAAGCUCGUAGUUGGAUUUGUGGCGUACGGUGGGUUCCGGGCACUUGUUGUCUGAGUAACUUGCUGUUGCCAUCCUUGGGUGGAACCUGUGUGGCAUUAGGUUGUCGUGCAGGGGAUGCCCAUCAUUUACUGUGAAAAAAUUAGAGUGUUCAAAGCAGGCUUAUGCCGUUGAAUAUAUUAGCAUGGAAUAAUGAGAUAGGACUUUUUUGCUAUUUUGUUGGUUUGCGCAAAGAGGUAAUGAUCAAUAGGGACAGUUGGGGGUAUUCGUAUUCCAUUGUCAGAGGUGAAAUUCUUGGAUUUUUGGAAGACGAACUACUGCGAAAGCAUUUACCAAGGAUGUUUUCAUUAA
rnacentral:rRNA from 1 species